GACUGAGUCACCCAGGUGCCCCCUUUUAUGGGGUUCUAAUUGAAAAACUGUUUUCUUGCCUUUUCUAGCUUCUCGGGCUGGCCACAUUCCUUGACUCACAGCUCCCUGCCCCAUCUUGAAAGCCAGCAAUGUUGAGUGCAAUGCGCUGGACCACAGUUGGAGAACCUGACCCCCUCCACCCCCACUGACAGACACGGAGAAGACUCAGUUGGAGUAGCUGAUGAGGGUAGAAGAAGAUUCCAGUACUUCUCACUAUCUUCCCUGCUCCAAUCCUGGUUCAAGUCACUGCCAGCUAUUUCUAAAAUACAGAGAAAGGCCACAGGUACAGCUUUCCACCUC